CAUUGUGGUCUGGGGUGCUAGUGAUAGCUGAGAAAUACCCAAAGAACCUGAUGCAGUUCGUACUGCCGUAGGGAGCGCCAUGUUAGUCGACA
rfam:Lactobacillus silagei DNA, scaffold: sequence03, strain: IWT126.